CACAGCAGAGCUUGCUCUGUGGGUGGCGAGUGGCGGACGGGUGAGGAAUACAUGGGAAUCUGCCCAGUCGUGGGGGAUAACGUAGGGAAACUUACGCUAAUACCGCAUGCGCCCUUCGGGGGAAAGCCGGGGACCUUCGGGCCUGGCGCGAUUGGAUGAGCCCAUGUCGGAUUAGCUAGUUGGUGGGGUAAAGGCCCACCAAGGCGACGAUCCGUAGCUGGUCUGAGAGGAUGAUCAGCCACACUGGAACUGAGACACGGUCCAGACUCCUACGGGAGGCAGCAGUAGGGAAUAUUGGACAAUGGGCGCAAGCCUGAUCCAGCCAUGCCGCGUGUGUGAAGAAGGCCUUCGGG
rnacentral:rRNA from 1 species